rnacentral:rRNA from 1 species
GACGAACGCUGACAGCAUGCUUAACACAUGCAAGUCAACCGGAAUCUGGGUGUUUAACUUAUGGUUGGUUGGCGGACGAGUGAGUAACGCGUAAAGAACUAGCCUCACAGCUAGGGACAACAUUUGGAAACGAAUGCUAAUACCAACUAUUAUGAUAAUAGAGCAUCCUAUAAUUAUGAAAGCUAUAAGCGCAGUGAGAGAGCUUUGCGUCCCAUUAGCUAGUUGGAGAGGUAUCGGCUCACAAAGGCGAUGAUGGGUAGCCAGCCUGAGAGGGUGAUCGGCCACAAGGGGCCUGGGGCGCCGCCCUUACUCCUUCGUGCGGCAACAGUGGAGAAUAUAGGACGAUGGACCGAGAGUCUGAUCCAGCAAUUCUGUGUGCACGAUGAAGUUUUUCGGGAUGUAAAGUGCUUUCAGUUAGGAAGAAACAAAUGACGGUACCAACAGAAGAAGUGACGGCUAACUACGUG